ensembl:lncRNA C3P1 complement component 3 precursor pseudogene
AGGGCCCUUCAAAGUGAGGUUUGUAGGGGGCAGGGCCAGGAAGAGGGGAAGGUCUGGGAGGACCUGGAGGGCGCAGCCCAGGGACAAGGAGGGGCAGGAGGGAGCCUGGACUUUGGAGGAUGGGGAAGGCAGGCCAGGGCCCGGAGUGGGUGAAGACUUCUCAGGACUAGGCCAGGACAGUGCCCAUCCCUGCAGAAGCCCAGUGGCCAAUUGAGGCAGGAGGAGCUCCAGACAACAGCAUGUGAGGCAGGCGUGGAUUUUGUGUACAAGACAAAGCUGGAAUCUGUGGAGGUCUCUGCCUCCAACCCUUACGUCUAUUACAACACGCAGCUCGAAGACAUCAUUAAGAGUGGUACGGACCCUGCCACACCCCUGGCCAUGAAGAAAUUCGUCUCCCAUGCCACUUGCCAUGACUCCCUGGGGUUGCAAGAACAGGAAUCGUACCUCAUCAUGGGCCAGACGUCAGACCUGUGGAGAAUCAAAUCUGAUUACAGCUAUGUUCUGGGCAAGGAGACGUUCCUCAUCCUUUGGCCAGCAGAUGGAGAUGCCAGCAAGAAAGAAUUGCGGGACCAACUGGAGGAAUUUUUGGAAUAUAUGCGCACCCACGGCUGCCAGUCCUGAGCCUCUUCUGCUUUCAGGGAGGUGUCAUCAGGCAGCUCUGGGCCACUGGGUUUAACCCCAAAUAAAGAGCACAGGAUAUGACACCCAAACCCUGGACAUUUGUCCCUGUGUCAGCUUUCACCAGGGGACCUGCACAACCUGCUCUGGCAUAAUGUGGACCUGUCUCCUCCCUCUUCCCCUGCUACUUGGGCGGCUGAGGCAGGAGGAUCACUUGGGAGCUGGCUCUCCAAGAGUCAAUAUUCCAAGAGAAGGAGCAGAGGGAGCCAUAGUACCUUUUAUGACCUAGCCUCAGGGGUCACAUGCCAUCAUUUCUGCAACGUCCUAUUGGUCACAUGAGCCAGUAUUAUUCAGCAUGGGUGGAGACUACACAAGGCAUGACCACUAGGAGGCAGGGUUCACUAGGGGAAUAAAUUUCAGCAGGCCAUGGUAUCCAAUCCAUUUAAUGUGCUGCUGGAUUUGGUUUGUUAACAUUUUGUUGAGGAUUUUUGCAUCUAUAUUCAUAAGGAAUAUUGGUCUGUAGUUUUCUCUUCUUGUGGUAUCAGUGUCUGGAAUGCUGGCCCCAUAGAGUGUAAAAGAAAUUAAGAAAUAUUCUUGGGAGCCAUGGUGGCUCAGGCCUGUUGUCCUGGUGCACAAGGAGGCAAGGCUAGAAGUUUGAGGCCAACCUGGGCAAUAUAAAAACCUCUCGUCUAUAUAACAACAACAAUAAAAAAACUAGCCAGCA